CCAGAAUCUGUUCAAUCUCUUCGAAUGGUAACUUUAGGAGUUAUCAACAUUGUGGAGAGAAACAGUUUGCUAUGUCUGCCUGGCGUGUCUUCUCGUUGUCAACAGAACAAACCCGAUGCAUACCACACUUUCAAUGUCACGAAGGCGGGCUCUUGGCCGAGAUCACAGUUAUACCAAAGAUUCACCACUGCACGCUAUAUAGCUGUUGAAGCAUGCAACACCUUCAACGUCACGACGGCCCUUGGGCGAGAUUGCAGAAGUGUCAUCAUCGCCACUGUCGUGUUCACAGUAGCUGUCCGGGAGCGAUUAUGAUGUCGCGAUGACGAUCCAGGAUACCAUGUGAUAUAACAUACAUUCUCGAGAUGCUUGACGUGUAUUGGAAGACUGUGAUCGAGUUCCGUUCGGAGAUGUGAGAUGGCAGAGACACGGUUCCUCAUGUAGCAGUUGUUUUCAAUAUACGAUUAUAGGAGGAAAACGAAGCCUGAGGAGUGUGGUUAUAGACAAAGAACUUGGUGGAUUAUGAACGCUGGUGUAUUAGAAGUGAACAAUGCAUGGUGUCCUCGUGUAGCAGUUGUUUUCAAUAUACGAUGAUAGGAGGAAAACGAAGCCUGAUAUGAGUGUCGUUCGAGACAAAGAACUUGUUGAAUUAUGAACGCUGGUGUAUUUGAUUAGAAAUGAACAAUGCUUGUGAUGUACCCCUUGGUACAGACUGCACCUUGCUGAUGUUGAUAGGCUAGUCCAUUGUUCUUUGGUAUGCAAUCGAGUUGAUCGUUGGUGAUGUUAAUUAAUGAUGAAUAGGCUAAUAAAUGAACAUAUUGUAAGUCCAUUGUUUGAUUUUUUCGAAUGCAAUCAGGUCGAUGGAUGAGAACAAAGAAAUCGUUUGAUGAAUUGUUCUCGAAUGCAAGGAAGGUCGAUCAUUGGAUCCAGUUAAUGAUAUGACUUCAUCAAAGUCAUUUGUUCUUUUCAUAUGCAAUCAUUGAAUCUUUUGUUAAUGAUAAUUAAACACAUGACUUCAUCAAAGUCAAUUGUUCUUUUCAUGUGUAAUCAUUGUCUCGAAUCCUAAUUGAUCUUCAUCAUAGAAUCUUUUAUAUCCAGUUGUGAUGUUCAUGAUAAUUAAACAUAUGACUUGAUCAAAGUCAAUUGUGCUUUGCAUAUGCAGUCAUUGUCUCGAAUCCUAAUUGUUCUGAAAUGCAAUGAAGGUCGAUCAAUGGAUCUUUUAUAUCCAGUUGUGAUGUUAAUGAUAAUUAAACACAUGACUUCAUCAAAGUCAGUUGUUCUCUUCAUAUGCAAACACAUGACCUCAAUUGUUCUUUUCAUAUGCAAUCAUUGUCUCGAAUCCUAAUUGAUCAUUGGAUCUUUUGUAUCCAGUUGUGAUGUUAAUGAUAAUUAAACACAUGACUUCAUCAAUUGUUCUUUUCAUAUGCAAUCAUUGUCUCGAAUCCUAGUCGAUAUUGAUCAUAGAAUCUUUUGUAUCCAGUUGUGAUGUUAAUGAUAAUUAAACACAUGACUU